rnacentral:rRNA from 1 species
UACGUAGGGUGCGAGCGUUAAUCGGAAUUACUGGGCGUAAAGCGUGCGCAGGCGGUUUGCUAAGACCGAUGUGAAAUCCCCGGGCUUAACCUGGGAACUGCAUUGGUGACUGGCAAGCUAGGGUGUGGCAGAGGGGGGUAGAAUUCCACGUGUAGCAGUGAAAUGCGUAGAGAUGUGGAGGAAUACCGAUGGCGAAGACAGCCCCCUGGGCCAACACUGACGCUCAUGCACGAAAGCGUGGGGAGCAAACAGG